rnacentral:rRNA from 1 species
CGGACGGGUGAGUAACGCGUGGGUAACCUGCCUCAUACAGGGGGAUAACAGUUAGAAAUGACUGCUAAUACCGCACAAGCGCACGGGGAUGCAUAUUCUUGUGUGAAAAACUCCGGUGGUAUGAGAUGGACCCGCGUCUGAUUAGCUAGUUGGUGAGGUAACGGCUCACCAAGGCGACGAUCAGUAGCCGGCCUGAGAGGGUGGACGGCCACAUUGGGACUGAGACACGGCCCAAACUCCUACGGAAGGCAGCAG